ACACCUGCCCAAGGAGAACCCCAAAUUUAGUACAAACUUGCAUUGGUGAUGGUAGUACUGGAAAACUACCCUCAUGAAAUAUCAUUUGACUGCUGAAUUUGAGAUAUAGCCACCGUGGGUGUGGAGCUCCAUCCCCUUUCGUUCCACACCAACAAAGGGCCCAUUAAGUUCAAUGGAUGGGACACAGCUGGCCCGGAGAAAUUUGGCAAACUGAGAGAUGGCUGAUGGCUAUUAUAUCCAAGCCCAGGGUGCCCUAAUGCUUAAUGUAACAUCAAGAGUUACAAGAAGGUGCCUGACGUAGAGAUCUGGUAUGAGUGUAUGAAAACACCCCCAUCAUGUUUUGUGGCAAAAAAAAAAAGGAUGUUAAGCCAGAAAAUGAAGACAAAGUUUACUCUCUUCUAUUAAACAAAGAGUCUUUAGUACUAUAACAUUUAUGUCAAAAAUAACUACAACUUUGAAAAGUCCUUCCUCUGGCCUGCUAAGAAGCUCACUGAAGACCCCAGCCUGAAGUUUGUAGCCAUGCCUGCUCUUGCCCCACCACAGGUUUUCCUGGACCCAGCUUUGGCAGUGCAAUAUGAGCAUGAUUUAGAGGUUGCUCAGACAACUGCUCUCCUGGAUGAGAAGGAUGACCUGUGAGAAAAUAA
rnacentral:lncRNA from 1 species